rnacentral:rRNA from 1 species
UACGGAGGGAGCUAGCGUUGUUCGGAAUUACUGGGCGUAAAGCGCACGUAGGCGGCUUUGUAAGUUAGAGGUGAAAGCCUGGAGCUCAACUCCAGAACUGCCUUUAAGACUGCAUCGCUUGAAUCCAGGAGAGGUGAGUGGAAUUCCGAGUGUAGAGGUGAAAUUCGUAGAUAUUCGGAAGAACACCAGUGGCGAAGGCGGCUCACUGGACUGGUAUUGACGCUGAGGUGCGAAAGCGUGGGGGAGCAAACAGG